rnacentral:rRNA from 1 species
UGUCCACUGAACCUUAUCAUUUAGAGGAAGGAGAAGUCGUAACAAGGUUUCCGUAGGUGAACCUGCGGAAGGAUCAUUGUCGAAACCUGCCCGGCAGAACGACCCGCGAACCCGUGACGAAACACCGGGGGCGCGGCGGGCGAGCCCCGGCUCGCGCGCCCCUCCCCCCUCGUCGUCUCGGGGUCGAGCCCCGUCCGCGGGACUCGCCCCCCCCGAGGCGCAACAACGAACCCCGGCGCGAAUUGCGCCAAGGAAAAUACAACGACAGGAGCGCGCCCCCCCUCCGCCCCGGACACGGUGCGCGUGCGGGGGGACGCCGCCUUCUUUCGAAAUUAGUCUAUAACGACUCUCGGCAAUGGAUAUCUCGGCUCUCGCAUCGAUGAAGAACGUAGCGAAAUGCGAUACUUGGUGUGAAUUGCAGAAUCCCGUGAACCAUCGAGUCUUUGAACGCAAGUUGCGCCCCAAGCCGUUAGGCCGAGGGCACGUCUGCCUGGGUGUCACGCAUCGUCGCCCCCCGCGCCCGCGCCUCCUAUUCGGGGCGCGCGGGUCGGAGGGCGGAGACUGGCCUCCCGUGCGCUCCCCGCUCGCGGUUGGCCCAAAUUCGAGUCCUCGGCGACCGUCGCCGCGACGAUCGGUGGCGGAAAUUCCAUUGAGUUCCCGUCGCGCGCGGCAGUCCCCGGAUGAGGUCUUCCGGACCCUGAUGCGCUUCUUUGGCGCUCGCUCUGCGACCCCAGGUCAGGCGGGAAUACCCGCUGAAUUUAAGCAUAUCAAUAAGCGGAGGA